rnacentral:misc_RNA from 1 species
GUGCUGGAAUUCGGCACCAAGAUCGCCGAAGGCACGCCGAUGGCCGUUCGCGCCAAUCCCGACGUGAUCAAAGCCUAUCUGGGGACAGCGUCAUGACGACGAAACUGCUGUCCGUCGAAAACGCCCACAUCGCCUACGGCAAGGUUGAAGCCGUACGCGGCGUCUCGCUUGACGUCAACGCCGAUGAGAUCGUGACCAUUGUCGGCGCCAACGGCGCAGGCAAGACCACGCUGCUUAACGCCAUCAUGGGAAUC